rnacentral:rRNA from 1 species
AUAUCAGUAAGCGGAGGAAAAGAAACCAACAGGGAUUGCCUCAGUAACGGCGAGUGAAGCGGCAACAGCUCAAAUUUGAAAUCUGGCUCUUUUAGAGUCCGAAUUGUAAUUUGUAGAAGAUGCUUUGGGGGUUGGCCUAGUCUAAGUUCCUUGGAACAGGACGUCAUAGAGGGUGAGAAUCCCGUAUGUGAUUAGUGCCUUCUCCCGUGUAAAGCUCUUUCGACGAGUCGAGUUGUUUGGGAAUGCAGCUCAAAAUGGGUGGUAAAUUUCAUCUAAAGCUAAAUAUUGGCCAGAGACCGAUAGCGCACAAGUA